rnacentral:rRNA from 1 species
CAGUCGCCGCGGUAAUACGGAGGGUGCAAGCGUUAAUCGGAAUUACUGGGCGUAAAGCGUGCGUAGGCGGUUCGUUAAGUCUGUUGUGAAAGCCCCGGGCCCAACCUGGGAAUGGCAAUGGAUACUGGCGAGCUAGAGUGUGUCAGAGGAUGGUGGAAUUCCCGGUGUAGCGGUGAAAUGCGUAGAGAUCGGGAGGAACAUCAGUGGCGAAGGCGGCCAUCUGGGACAACACUGACGCUGAGGCACGAAAGCGUGGGGAGCAAACAGGAUUAGAUACCCCAGUAGUCCCUGUCUCUUAUAC